rnacentral:rRNA from 1 species
GACAGAGGGUGCGAACGUUGUUCGGAAUUACUGGGCGUAAAGGGCGCGUAGGCGGCCAUCUAAGUCAGACGUGAAAUCCCCCGGCUUAACCUGGGAACUGCGUCUGAUACUGGAAGGCUUGAGUAUGGGAGAGGGAUGUAGAAUUCCAGGUGUAGCGGUGAAAUGCGUAGAUAUCUGGAGGAAUACCGGUGGCGAAGGCGGCAUCCUGGACCAUUACUGACGCUGAGGCGCGAAAGCUAGGGGAGCAAACGGGG